UUUUGAACCCAAACCUAUAAUAUCCCGCCGGGAAAAUACCUCUGAAGGAUCCUUAAAUGCCGAAAGAGCCCCUGUAACUUUGCGAAAAAAACCCACCCACACUACGCAAACCAAACAGUAUAGUUCAGGGUUAUUAUCGUCAUGUUAAAGUUUCGAGACACAUCAUUCCCGCCAUCGAAUUUUUGCAGGUCAUACAGAUUCCGGGAAUGGCGGUAAGAGAAAUCCGGUGGGGCUGUCCGUCCGGGAUUUCCGAUUGGACGAGUGAAGAUGAUGAUGAAAAUCGACAAGGAUAUUGAUGUCGCCGCUGAGAAGAAACGGAAGAUCGUGAAGCUUGAACACAUCGGAAUCAUCGUCAAGAGGCAUCGGCUGAUGAGUGAUUUUCUCCUCGAUUCGCUUCCUCUUACAUCUCAGCCGUAGGAUGCUCCGGCGAAGGAUGAGAAUCGCACUUGCACUGUCGUCGGUAAACCGCUUCCUGAAAGAACCCGUCGAAUCGAUGAUUUCUUUCGCCGGCUAGCAAAGACAACGUCGGCGGAGACCAACGAGUCAUAGGCGAUCAGUCUUCAUCAGAUAAAAGGUAUUGUUUAAUUUUUUUUUGCGUUUGUUUGCUAUCAAGUCCAUAUUUUACGAUUACACGAGAAAACUUGUUUGUUUCUGAACAUCAGACAAUUUUAAGUUAUCCAUUUGAAGAAAUUGUCAUCUAAAUAUCUCAAAAGAAGGACAAAAACCAAAAGAGUGAACUGAAUAGAUGCAAUUAAGAUGAAAUUUGAUACAAUGUAGACAAUCAAAAUGAUGGGUGGUUGAUUUUCACUCUCUAUUUAUAAACAUUAUCUGGGAAAUCGAGAUGGGAUCUGUACAGGAA